AUUGAACGCUGGCGGAAUGCUUUACACAUGCAAGUCGAGCGGCAGCACGGGGGCAACCCUGGUGGCGAGCGGCGAACGGGUGAGUAAUACAUCGGAACAUGCCCCGUCGUGGGGGAUAACACUUCGAAAGAAGUGCUACUACCGCAUACGUCCUGAGGGAGAAAGCGGGGGAUCUUCGGACCUCGCGCGAUUGGAGUGGCCGAUGUCAGAUUAGCUAGUUGGUGGGGUAAAGGCCUACCAAGGCAACGAUCUGUAGCUGGUCUGAGAGGAUGAUCAGCCACACUGGGAAUGAGACACGGCCCAGACUCCUACGAGAGGCAGCAGUGGGCAAUUUUGGACGAUGGGUGCAACCGUGAUCCAGCCAUUCCGCGUGAGUGAAGAAGGCCUUCGGGAUGUAAAGCUCUUUCGGCAGGAACGAAACGGCGAGCUCUAACAUAGCUUGCUAAUGACGGUACCUGAAGAAGAAGCACCGGCUAACUACGUGCCAGCCGCCGCUGUAAUAC
rnacentral:rRNA from 1 species